UCAGACAACAUCAGUCCCAUCACCCACCCGGGUUUCCGCCAUACCCUCAUUUGCAUAAACAGGAGUCAUUUAUGAAUAAUGAAUGUACGUGCAUUCAGCAGGAGCCGCUAAUUUGCAUAUCACCGAGGCAGCCGUUUGAUUUCCUAGCCUGGGCUGUUGUUGUCUUUACCUCACAGCCAGCCUGCAUUAACCGUCCCCAUGCAAAGAACUAAAGCUCGACCAGCAUUAUUACCUUCAGACACUCAGACUGUUGACUCCGCCCCCCAGCUUGUGAUCACGGCGAGGAAUGGGCGGAGUUUUCUUUCAUCUCAAUGUCAGUCCUUUUCACCUCCACGGGCGAUUUAAUGAGGACCCCGGGAUGCCAGACAGUGCUGAAUACCGAGCGUCUGUGCGCGGGCGGGCCCUGGCAACCGCUCCCCCCGGCCCCGACAUGCAACAGCACACCUUGAGUGCGCUCCUCGGGUCCAGGACUUGGACCAGGCAGACGCACCAGACAGGCCUCUGAAGGACCGAGUCCCCUCGAUGUCGGAAAGAAAUCAGACAGGCAUUAGUGGAAGGGUGCAUGUGCGCGUUGUUUUCUUUAUUUGACACAUCCUUCCUCCUCUGCUCUAUAUGCCAGCGCAGAUAAUGGCGUCAUUUAAAGCAGCCAUGCAUUGUGCACGCUGACUGAUGGUUGCUUUUCUUGCUUAAUAUGCGCCCGCCACCACCGGAUAAUAGUCUUUUUGUCGCAAGAAUAAAAGACAUGCCUUCAAAAGGAACCGGGCAUUUUCAUGUUAUACUCUCUAAUGUGCUAAAAGUGAUAGAUAAUUCCCUCCUUUCAUUAGAAGCUAAAUUGAUAAUGAUGAAAGUCUGCUUCAUUCUUUUUUUCUAUUCCAGGAUGAAUUAUUGCGACAGGGAAAAAAAAAGUCUUCUCAGUUAAUGGCAAUAGGGAGAAAAAAAGACAUUCUUUCACAUUGAGUCUGGUCCCCAGCAGACCACUUGAGCUAUAUGUUCGGCUAAAUUGAGGGGCCCUCCCCAGUGUGUAGGGCCCGCUUCCCCAGGGGACUCAUUGGGGAUGACUCUGGUGACCUUGCGCAGUGGUCAGCUUGAGAGGUCAGGGGUCAUCUAAAUGAAUUACCCCAAAAGAUGGUGUCUGUGAGUUUGCACAUAUUCCACUAAAGAUGUCUAUUUUAUUUCAAUGCAUUAUUUCACUUUAUAGGGCAAGGAACCAUAUUUUGUAAUCGGGUAAAUUGUCUCACAAUCAAGAUGAAAAAUCAUGUGAUUUCUAUUCAUAAAUGAAUACUAUUA